UUUCUGCAUCUGAUUUUUCUAUUUGGGGUGGGGGUGGGGAGGUGCUGCAUGCUGGGAUAUUGUAUAAGCUGUUGUUUAUUAAUCUAAUGAGCAAAAUACAAAGGUCUGGAGGCAGAAGAAUUCUGUUAAAUUCAGUAAAAUUCUGCCCUCUCACAUAAUACUGGAAGUUGUGUGUCACGGUGAGCAGCUGCCUUUGGGUGCUUUGUCUUCUUGAAUUUGGUGGUCUCAGGGCAGUCUCCACAGAACCUUGGCAGCCUCCAAGGAUAUCUGCAGAAGCAUGAAGCAACUGGGCUUCUGCACAUCCCAGUGUAAAAGCCUUCUGCACAGACAGCGUUUCCUUUGGCUUUCAGAGGUGUGCUUUGUGUGUGAAAUGAUGAACAGAUGUCUGUGAAAUACAAGAUGAACUGGAUGGAGCUGCAGGCUUGCGUGGGCAACUGUAUGCUUCUGUGACACAAUGAAUUAUAAGGGGGAACUGAGAGUAAAUGCCAAAUCAUGGAGGUCGCUCUCCUUUUCCACUUCCCUUCUCCCCAGCAUGUUUUCUCCGGGAGAACUCUGCCAACAACUUCAGUUGUUGCUUAAGUGGGGCAGAGGGUCCCAUAUUACACUGCUGGCUCCCAUCAGCCGCCCAUCAGUCAGCCCUGACAGGCUCUGCUGGCAGCCCUGGAAAUCCAUCCUGCAGCCCAAGCACACGCUGUGUUGGGAACUCGCCCAGUCCUGUACAUGCAUAAUUCUCACUGACAUGGGACUGAGCCCUGCAGUCUUUGAGGAGUUGGUUAACACCGUUGGCAGUGGGUAGGAGCCAAGGGUGCAUGUGAGGGAACCGUGCUGUCGGGCUGGAUGUGAAUGGUUUCUUUCUGGUCAUGUCUUUGUUGGAAUGCUGAAGCCAUGAGGAGGUGCAGACAUGGGGUUUUGCUGUUCUCUUUUCCCUGGAAUUGUCUGGGCAGGAGUUCACAUGAAGCGUGUGCGUCCUGCCAGGGAAUUUCACAUUUGCAAAAUGAUAUUGUUUAGUGCAUUUGUGCCAAAAAAACACUGCUUAACAGAACUUCCUCGUGAAGAGCAAUUCCCUUUCAAGUUCCCAAUUUGAUCUUCCUUUUCCAAGACAGGCUACGACUUGGUCUCUUUUGUGCUAUAUUUAUACAUCUGCGUGUCCAAGAUUGAACUCUCAAAUCUGUGCUUUGUGCAGUAGAACACUUGCAUUAGCCCCGGGUGUCUUUUACCACGCUUGUUAAAAGAUGACACUGACACAAGAGGAGCCCUAGAAAAUCAAGACAACGUUAAUGUAGCAUUGAUUAUCAGAGCAGAGCAACAAGCAGCUCCUCUUGCUCUCUCAGUGCUUUCCUAUAUUUAGACAUCUAUGAGAUUUUCCUAUCAGACCAAAUACAGACCGUUCUCCAGCCAAGAUGUCCAGCUGUGACCAUCAGCUCUCUCCAAGAAAAUACGGCCUUGCUGGCUAGAAGCAUUGCUUUGCCAAACACUUCACACGCUUGAGGAUUUCGGUUUACAACAUCAACCAGACAGAUGAAGGAAAUUUUUUGAGGCCAGCAGGGCCCAGAUACCAAGUCACACCCUGCUACAGUUUCUUAUGGGAUGUUGCCUUUGAACACAGCAGGAGUUACAUUUAGGGGAAAAAAUUUAAAAGUAAAUAAGCCAAAAAUAUCCCCAACCAAACAGCAUUCAGAAGUCACCUUUCCUGUGGAGGUGUUGCAAUGGAAAUUGUAACAGUUCUAUGCUGUACUGUAAUUAUCAUUGUAAUUAUACAAGGGAGAAUGGAGAUCAAAAGGGAAGGUGGGGAAGAGAGGCUUAAAUGCAGAGGGAAGGUUUAAUGCCAGUAAGCUCAUGGAAAAAGCGUGGAUGGAUACAGCUGUAGUAUCGCAAUGUGCUCAUGGAUUUGUGUCUGGUGCUCACAGGAGAGGAUAAGAAUGGCAGAACCUCUGUUUGUGCUGAGUCCUGCCUACAUUUAACACUGGAACAGGCUGGAUGUGGCUCUGGGCAGCCUGGUCUGCUGUUGGUGAUCCCGCACACAGCAGGGGAUCGAAACUAGAUCUUUGAGAUCCUUUUCAACCUAGGCCAUUCUAUGAUUCUAAAAUUAGCACGUGACUAAAAAUGCAGCUUAUGUAUAUGAAGGAUAUUUGAAAUAGACAGUGCACUUCUAGUGUGAACUAUGGAAAUAAUUGGAAUUAGAUCACUGUUCAGGGAGUGAGAGCACACUGGGUGUAGAGGUGCCCAUCCAGUCCGGACUUGGUUUUAGAGUUAAGAUGCUGACACACUGCUGUUUGUUCCAACAUAACCUCACUGUCUGUGCUAUGGCAGGCAGAAGUUUGCCUUCAACCAGUGUUGUUAUUUGUUGAUAUUCAAAAAUAAAUAUCAAAAUAAAUGUUCAGAGAGAGAAUAGUCUGUAUAGCUUGUCAAAAUCUCCAGGGAGCAGGCACUACCAUUCUUUCCAAAGCAGCAAGAGGGAAGUAGGCAUGUAAAUUAUGUCUGCCCGUCUAAGCAGAAGUGCUAGUUCUGCUGGAUUUAGCAGAAUUUUCUUGCUCUCCUAUCUGAGAAGGAGCCAAACUCACAACUGCCAUGCGCUGGUGUUAUCCUGCUGUUUAUACUGUGGAUCAGAAGUGCCGUUGUGUUUAUCCCCAGCCAUCUGGGAGAGAGCAUCCUGAUUGUGCUCCACUUCUUCAGCUAGUGAUGUUUAAAUAUACAUAGGUCUGAUUAAUUCAAUAACAGGGAAAGGUUGAGUCCAAUCCUAAUGGAUCCAAACUCGGCUGGCCUUCCCCAUUUUUAAAGAUGCAGGCGAUCUUUGGAUGUGCAAACCCUUCUGAGAUCUGUUGAAAUGGGAAAGCUGGUGAGGUUCAGGCAGGAGAUGUAGAGCUGGUGCCUGUGCUUCUCUUAAAUUCCCACCUGGCUUUGCUGUGCUCCUUGUGUCAUUUGUGUAACAGCAAAAGCUGCUCUCAGAUGUGGCUGCAUUUGUUUAAUGCAUUGAUAGUGGGCAUAUGUUCUGAGAUAAAUCCACAUUCAGAAAUAUAAAUAUACGUGCAUGUAUACGUGUGUGUGUGUAUAUAAGUAAUCAACUGCUUCUAUUAAUAUAGCAUCAAUUAAUUCCUAACCAUCCUCCUCAAAGGGUGAAAUCUUUUGGCUUUAUCCAAGUAGGCCUUUAGGCAAAGAAGCCUAAAUAUGAGCCUUGGAGCACUGUGGUUAUCCCAAGAUUUUGUUGUUGGAUCAACACGGCUGCUUGAAUAGUGUCAAAUGCACUCCACAGGAAACAACUUGCAAGGCAAUUGGGUGAAGCAAUCUCCAGAUACGUAUCUCCUGGCCUUUGCCAGAGCUUGUACACGUCACAUCAGACACCCUGAGCACCACAGACCAUCUGCCUGGGUGCUGCUGGAAGGGAUGGUCAGACCUGCCAGCUCUGCCUGCGCAUGUCAGGCUGGCUGGGAAGGUUGGGUCCCAGCCACUGGUAGUUUGCUGGUCGAUCUGCGAUUGUUUGAAGGGAGGAUUUCUGUCACUGUAAGUUGCUCGUGGAACUUUGUGUUUCUUUGGAAGUGGCUUCUAGCUAAGCAGACCCACACUGUACAGCUUUGCAUGGACUGUGAGUGAUGGGAGCUGAGGGAGGAGAUUUGCUCCAGUGCUGUAACAGGCUGGAAACAGAAAGCAAUUUUUAUGUCAUUUAGGAAAAUAGUCUUUGUGGAUAAAAGAUGUGGCUCCACACUGGCUGGAGGUUAUGCUAUGGCUCAGUUGAUUAUAAACUUGAAGUCUUAUAGGGCAUAAAAAGACCAAGUUUGUGACCUGUGUUCAGAUUUCAGCUCAGACCUGGGAUUAGCUCUGCAGUCCUGCUGCUUUGCAAAUGCAUUCUGCCUUCAGCUGCACUUAAUACAGAUAUCUGCUGCUUGGAGCAGUGCCUCCUGCUCGCUAUGGAGGGUGUCUGGGUGGCACGCCAAGAUCCCGUCCCAAAUAUCUUCUGGAUUGAUUGGGAAAUGCAUGAAACAAGGCCCAGGGCCCAGAACUUCAUAUGCUGUUUCAAAGCAAGAUAGUUCUGUCUUUCAUCUCUACCCGUAUUCUCUUCACUGGUGAGAUAAACAACGUGCUGUCUCCUAUAUGGAGAGUGCACUGUGGAGCAAGCUGGGUUUACUCUGCGUUCAGCCAAGACCUGGGGAUACUCUGGGGGAUGGGAAUGUGAGAAAGCUGCUUGCUUGCUUUUCGACUUUUUCCCUCACUUCAUUGUGUUUCUGUGGGCGACUCCCUGGUGAUAAAUGAACUAUAGUGUCUGAGGAGAAAAAGUAAUCUUGCUGUGGUAUUGUUUCAAAUCUGCAAGAAUUUCAGUCGUCGUCUUGAAUGCAUUACGUUCUCAGGAGUGGUUUUGUUAGAGUAUACUGAUUUGGAAAAGGAUCAUAUUUAUGAUACCUCUCUCUCUUAAUUCAACAUACAGUUUCUAAAUGCUGAUGCUGAAAGUUUUCCCUUGCAGAAGAUUUGCUUAACGUAAAUUUUCUGUCCUGCUUUGCUGAGCUGCUCAGAACACAAUGGCGUUUGCGCAGGCUUCUCAGCAGGUGGAUCUAAUCAUGCAGAGAUUUCUUUCACUGUGUUUAUUUCUCACCGAGUAGAAGCCAUUGAUUUAGACAUCAGAUACUAAGCUGGCAUAAUUAUUUAAAAUAAACACGGGGCUGUUACAAGACUGCUCUGAAAUUGUGUUCCUUCCAGAUGUGCAGAAAGUUGCUUAAGGCGGUGCCCCAAAGGACACAUUGCCUUCUGUGGCAGUUGGGUUGCUUGUUGCAGAGACAUCUCUGAUUCUUACUAGUGCCAAUGCCAGUGAGAACCUGGCAAGGACGGGCCGCAGUGCAUUUGAAAAGAAUGCUAUUGAGGAGGUUUUCAGGUAGCUGGCUUAGUAUGUGAGAGAUGGAUGCCUGCAGGUGUGAGCGCUGUCAAUUUAUGCUGGCACAGGUGAGAGCUGUCUGCCUCCUCCUGCCAGAAGCUGCUGCAGGUGGGGCAGCCUGGCUCUCCUUCCAUCUCCUCAGGUGCCUCCCCUUGCAGCCAGGCAGAGCAACUUUAAAAAAAAGAAAAGGGUUCAGCUGGAGGCACUUUGCCAGCCAGCACACUGCAGCUGAAGGGCUGAAAUGCAGGGUGGUAAUUUCCUUCAUCGGGGUGGGGUGCAUUCCUGUGGGCACGAAUCUUUUAUGUUUCCUUGGUCUGAAUCGCUAGAUUUGUCUGGAGAUUGCUGUUCCCAGUGAGCUGUGGGGAUGCUGGUGGCUGGUGCACCUCACAGGCACCACACGUCCCACUGUUGGGCCCUAAGAAGGGCUAAUUCUCUCUUCCUGAGGGAGCGCUGCCACCAGUGCAGCAGCAAAGCUUGCACAUCCCUGCUGCCAGGGAUACCCAGCGAUCCCUCAGGUGGAAAACCCAACACUGGGGCAACUCAGCUCUUGGUGAGAAUGUGCCAUCGCCCUCGGUCUGGGAAAUGGCUCUGGUGUGGGGCUGGGCAGCAGCGCUUGGCUGCGCUCUCUAGGAUUCCUCCCCCCUUGAAAAAAAAUGCUAUUCUAAAAAUAUUAAACUAAAUGCACCAGGCUGAGGCAUGCACUGAGCACAUUGCCCCUUGUCCUUUUCUCAAGGCAGGGGCUGUGCUGCGGUGCCCAGACAAACCUGCAUUUUAUUCCAAACCAGGUGUGAGAUCAGCCAGGUUGUAAACCAACUGCUGCUAUUAUUAAUGUGUCUCCCUGCUUAAGCUGUCAGUGUCUGUUUUGUGUCUUGUUAGACUACAAUCCAGCUCUUUUUGUAUGGGAAAGAGGGUGCUCAUUUCGGUCUGUGCUCUGCACUAUUGAGAACAGGAUCAUGAGAGAUGAGGAGGUGACCCAAGACAGCCAGCACAGCUUCCCCAAGGGCAGAUUGUGCAUCACCAAUCUGAUGGCCUUCUACAAUGCAGUGACAACAUCAGUGGACAAAGGAUGGGCAACUGAUGUCAUCUACCUGGACUUGUGCAAGGCCUCUGAUGAUGGUCCUACACCACAUCCUUAUUUCUGAAUUGGAAGGAUAUGGGUUUGAAGAGUGGGCUAAUUGGUGGAUAAAGAAUUGGAUGGUCACAGCCAGAGGGUUCUUGACAGUGGUUUGGAUGGAGGCAAUGACCAAUGGUGUCCCCUGGCAGUCUGUUCAUCUGUGGAGGUGUUCAAGGCCAGGCUGGAUGAGGCCCCGGGCAGCCUGAUUUACUGCCUGAUUUAGCCAGCAGCAUUGGGGUUGGAACCGGAUGGUCUUUAAGGUCUCUUCCAACCCAAGCUAUUUGAUGAUUCUGCUAUGUAGAAAGCUAAAGCUCCUGGUGCUUUGAGGAGCUGCAGCUGCAUUGUGGAAGCCUGGCUUGUGCCUGGAGGGCUAAUGAGGUGCAAUCAGGUCACUUGGCACCAUUGCCUUGUCCAAAGAGACCUGCAAACAGAUCUUGAGCAUCCAAAUCCUGCUUGUAGGGUCAAAUGGGAGGCCCACAGUGUGCUCAGGAGGAGUUUUUCAUGAGCAGUAAGGAUCUGACAGUCAGUAGAAUGGGAAGGCUAUUAAGAAAACAUUCAUUAACUCAGGUGGACCUAAUCAUCUGGUUAAAGGGAACAUACAUUGCAAAACUUCCACAAAAAAAAAAACAAAA